ACACAUGCAAGUCGAACGGAGCACCCUUGAUUGAGGUUUCGGCCAAAUGAUAGGAAUGCUUAGUGGCGGACUGGUGAGUAACGCGUGAGGAACCUGCCUUUCAGAGGGGGACAACAGUUGGAAACGACUGCUAAUACCGCAUGACGCAUUUUGAUCGCAUGGUCGAAAUGCCAAAGAUUUAUCGCUGAAAGAUGGCCUCGCGUCUGAUUAGCUAGUUGGUGAGGUAACGGCCCACCAAGGCGACGAUCAGUAGCCGGACUGAGAGGUUGACCGGCCACAUUGGGACUGAGAUACGGCCCAGACUCCUACGGGAGGCAGCAGUGGGGAAUAUUGGGCAAUGGGCGCAAGCCUGACCCAGCAACGCCGCGUGAAGGAAGAAGGCUUUCGGGUUGUAAACUUCUUUUAAGUGGGAAGAGUAGAAGACGGUACCACUUGAAUAAGCCACGGCUAACUACGUGCCAGCAGCCGCGGUAAUACGUAGGUGGCAAGCGUUGUCCGGAUUUACUGGGUGUAAAGGGCGUGCA
rnacentral:rRNA from 1 species